CUCUCUAUAAUUUAUUUAUUCAUCUCUCUUUUUUGUUAAUUUAUGUAAAAAUUUUUAAAAUAAUUUUUCUUAUGUUUAUUUUUUUUUUUUUUUUUAUUUUUCAGAGGGAGUCAGUGGAGAGGAAGAUCACGAGGAGGAGAAACAAAAAGGAUGAGCUGUUGAAGAGAAAUGUAGCUACAGGGUUGAACAGUUCACCUGGAAGAAGAUAUCGUAUCAACGAAGAAAUUAUCGAUCUUCACAUAAUUAGUGAGCAGCUGGACAUGGACAUCCGGAAUGCAACAAUAGUAAUCGAGAGGAUGUUGGAAAGAGAGACUGGUGCUGCAAGGGUCCUGCCAGACGUUCCAUGUCCUCUAGAUGAUCC